rnacentral:rRNA from 1 species
AGAGUUUGAUCAUGGCUCAGAGCGAACGCUGGCGGCAGCCUAACACAUGCAAGUCGAGCGCCGUAGCAAUACGGAGCGGCAGACGGGAGAGUAACACGUGGGAACGUGCCCUUCAGUCCGGAACAACCCAGGGAAACUUGGGCUAAUACCGGAUACGUCCGUAAGGAGAAAGAUUUAUCGCUGAAGGAUCGGCCCGCGUCUGAUUAGCUAGUUGGUGGGGUAACGGCCCACCAAGGCGACGAUCAGUAGCUGGUCUGAGAGGAUGAUCAGCCUCACUGGGACUGAGACACGGCCCAGACUCCUACGGGAGGCAGCAGUGGGGAAUAUUGGACAAUGGGCGCAAGCCUGAUCCAGCCAUGCCGCGUGGGUGAUGAAGGCCCUAGGGUUGUAAAGCCCUUUCGGCGGGGAAGAUAAUGACGGUACCCGCAGAAGAAGCCCCGGCUAACUUCGUGCCAGCAGCCGCGGUAAUACGAAGGGGGCUAGCGUUGCUCGGAAUCACUGGGCGUAAAGCGCACGUAGGCGGCUUUUUAAGUCAGGGGUGAAAUCCUGGAGCUCAACUCCAGAACUGCCUUUGAUACUGAGAAGCUUGAGUCCGGGAGAGGUGAGUGGAACUGCGAGUGUAGAGGUGAAAUUCGUAGAUAUUCGCAAGAACACCAGUGGCGAAGGCGGCUCACUGGCCCGGUACUGACGCUGAGGUGCGAAAGCGUGGGGAGCAAACAGGAUUAGAUACCCUAGUAGUCC